GAUGAACGCUGGCGGCGUGCCUAAUACAUGCAAGUCGAGCGAACAGACGAGGAGCUUGCUCCUCUGACGUUAGCGGCGGACGGGUGAGUAACACGUGGAUAACCUACCUAUAAGACUGGGAUAACUUCGGGAAACCGGAGCUAAUACCGGAUAAUAUAUUGAACCGCAUGGUUCAAUAGUGAAAGACGGUUUUGCUGUCACUUAUAGAUGGAUCCGCGCCGCAUUAGCUAGUUGGUAAGGUAACGGCUUACCAAGGCAACGAUGCGUAGCCGACCUGAGAGGGUAAUCGGCCACACUGGAACUGAGACACGGUCAGACUCCUACGGGAGGCAGCAGUAGGGAAUCUUCCGCAAUGGGCGAAAGCCUGACGGGGCAACGCCGCGUGAGUGAUGAAGGUCUUCGGAUCGUAAAACUCUGUUAUUAGGGAAGAACAAAUGUGUAAGUAACUAUGCACGUCUUGACGGUACCUAAUCAGAAAGCCACGGCUAACUACGUG
rnacentral:rRNA from 1 species